rnacentral:rRNA from 1 species
AGAGAGCAGUGGCGAGGAGUCGGAGUAAGGCAGAGGGUGGAAGCGUUAAUCGGAAUGACGGGGCUUGAGGCGGGCGGAGGCGGGUAUGUAAGGCGGGUGGUAAAGCCCCUGGCGCAACCUGGGAAGUGCAUUCGAGACUGCAGAGCUAGGGUGCGGAAGAGGGAAGCGGAAUUGCCGUUGUAGCGGUGAAAUGCGUAGAUAUCGGAAGGAACACCAGUGGCGAAAGCGGCUUCCUGGUCCAGCACCGACGUUCAGGCACGAAAGCGUGGGGAGCAAACAGGAUUAGAUACCCUAGUAGUC